AUUGAACGCUGGCGGCAGGCUUAACACAUGCAAGUCGAGCGGAGAUGAGGUGCUUGCACCUUAUCUUAGCGGCGGACGGGUGAGUAAUGCUUAGGAAUCUGCCUAUUAGUGGGGGACAACAUUCCGAAAGGAAUGCUAAUACCGCAUACGUCCUACGGGAGAAAGCAGGGGAUCUUCGGACCUUGCGCUAAUAGAUGAGCCUAAGUCGGAUUAGCUAGUUGGUGGGGUAAAGGCCUACCAAGGCGACGACCUGUAGCGGGUCUGAGAGGAUCAUCCGCCACACUGGGACUGAGACACGGCCCAGACUCCUACGGGAGGCAGCAGUGGGGAAUAUUGGACAAUGGGGGGAACCCUGAUCCAGCCAUGCCGCGUGUGUGAAGAAGGCCUUAUGGUUGUAAAGCACUUUAAGCGAGGAGGAGGCUACUGAGACUAAUACUCUUGGAUAGUGGACGUUACUUGCAGAAUAAGCACCGGCUAACUCUGUGCCAGCCGCCGCCGUAA
rnacentral:rRNA from 1 species